rfam:Citrobacter koseri ATCC BAA-895, complete genome.
GUGCGGCCUGAAAAGCAGAGCUGCGCCUGUGUAAAAAACAAUCAUAACUUACGGCGCAGCCACGAUUUCCCUGGUGUUGGCGCAGUAUUCGCGCACCCCGGUCAAUCC